CCUACGGGAGGCAGCAGUGAGGAAUAUUGGUCAAUGGACGAGAGUCUGAACCAGCCAAGUAGCGUGAAGGAUGACUGCCCUAUGGGUUGUAAACUUCUUUUAUCUGGGAAUAAAAUGUUCCACGUGUGGGAUUUUGUAUGUACCAUAUGAAUAAGGAUCGGCUAACUCCGUGCCAGCAGCCGCGGUAAUACGGAGGAUCCGAGCGUUAUCCGGAUUUAUUGGGUUUAAAGGGAGCGUAGGUGGAUUGUUAAGUCAGUUGUGAAAGUUUGCGGCUCAACCGUAAAAUUGCAGUUGAAACUGGCAGUCUUGAGUACAGUAGAGGUGUGCGGAAUUCGUGGUGUAGCGGUGAAAUGCUUAGAUAUCACGAAGAACUCCGAUUGCGAAGGCAGUUCACUGGACUGCAACUGACACUGAGGCUCGAAAGUGUGGGUAUCAAACAGGAGUAGAUACCCCGGUAGUC
rnacentral:rRNA from 1 species